rnacentral:rRNA from 1 species
GAUGAACGCUGGCGGCGUGCCUAAUACAUGCAAGUCGAACGCAUUGUGGUUGAAAUGAUAUGAAGAACUUGUUCAGAUUUGAUUUUCAACAUUGCAAUGAGUGGCGAACGGGUGAGUAACACGUGGGAAACCUACCUCUUAGCAGGGGAUAACAUUUGGAACCAAAUGCUAAUACCGUAUAAUAAUUAAAACCGCAUGGUUUUAGUUUAAAAGAUGGUCUUGCUAUCACUAAGAGAUGGUCCCGCGGUGUAUUAGUUAGUUGGUGAGGUAAUGGCUCACCAAGACAAUGAUACAUAGCCGAGUUGAGAGACUGACCGCCACAAUGGGGACUGAGACACGGCCCAUACUCCUACGGGAGGCAGCAGUAGGGAAUCUUCCACAAUGGACGAAAGUCUGAUGGAGCAAACGCCCGCGUGUGUGAUGAAGGGUUUCGCUCGUAAAACACUGUUGUAAGAGAAGAAUGACAUUGAGAGUAACUGUUCAAUGUGUGACGGUAUC